GACGAACGCUGGCGGCGUGCUUAACACAUGUAAGUCGAGCGGUAAGGCCCGUUUCGGGGGUACACGAGCGGCGAACGGGUGAGUAACACGUGGGUGACCUGCCCUCAGUUCUGGGAUAAGCCUGGGAAACCGGGUCUAAUACUGGAUAUGACCUCAUGACGCAUGUUGUGGGGUGGAAAGCCUUGUGCGACUGAGGAUGGGCCCGCGGCCUAUCAGCUUGGUUGGUGGGGUGAUGGCCUACCAAGGCGACGACGGGUAGCCGGCCUGAGAGGGCGACCGGCCACACUGGGACUGAGACACGGCCCAGACUCCUACGGGAGGCAGCAGUGGGGAAUCUUGCGCAAUGGGCGAAAGCCUGACGCAGCGACGCCGCGUGAGGGAUGACGGCCU
rnacentral:rRNA from 1 species